UGGCAGUAACUUAGUGUCAUGGCAGC
rnacentral:piRNA from 1 species